CCUCUCGUGGCGUAGGGGUAACGCGCCCCAACUGACGCCCCUAAGAUCGGGGAGUCGUGAGUUCGAUUCCCACCGAGAAGA
rnacentral:tRNA from 1 species